GGUUACUGCUAUCGAGGUUCGACUAAGCCAUGCGAGUCGAAUGUAGCAAUACAUGGCGAACUGCUCAGUAACACGUGGACAACCUGCCCUUAGGUUGGGUAUAAACCCGGGAAACUGGGUAUAAUACCCGAUAGGUCUCGAUUGCUGGAAUGCAUCGAGAUUUAAAGCUCCGGCGCCUAAGGAUGGGUCUGCGGCCUAUCAGGUAGUAGUGGGUGUAGCGUACCUACUAGCCUACGACGGGUACGGGUUGUGAGAGCAAGAGCCCGGAGAUGGAUUCUGAGACACGAAUCCAGGCCCUACGGGGUGCAGCAGGCGCGAAAACUUUACAAUGCUGGCAACAGCGAUAAGGGAACCUCGAGUGCCAGGUUACAAAUCUGGCUGUCGAGAUGCCUAAAAAGCAUUUCAUAGCAAGGGCCGGGCAAGACCGGUGCCAGCCGCCGCGGUAACACCGGCGGCUCGAGUGGUAACCGUUAUUAUUGGGUCUAAAGGGUCUGUAGCCGGCCGGAUAAGUCUCUUGAGAAAUCUGGCAGCUUAACUGUCAGGCUUUCAGGAGAUACUGUCUGGCUCGAGGCCGGGAGAGGUGAGAGGUACUUCAGGGGUAGGGGUGAAAUCUUGUAAUCCUUGAAGGACCACCAGUGGCGAAGGCGUCUCACCAGAACGGACCUGACGGCAAGGGACGAAAGCUAGGGGCACGAACCGGAUUAGAUACCCGGGUAGUCCUAGCCGUAAACGAUA
rnacentral:rRNA from 1 species